rnacentral:rRNA from 1 species
AUGCCUAACCAAGAUAAUGCUCUCCAAGUUGAAAAGGUAAAGAAGAAGAGAAAGGGGAGCACAUGUUGCUAUAUUUGCCGUAAGAAGGGACACAUAGCUUCAUCUUGUUCCAACGGUAACAUAUCUAAGCCUCCUAUAGUCAAUAAUCAUUAUUUGCUAAAGAAGGAUAUUGUUGGCAAUGUGUUUGCCAAGUUUUUGGGUUCCCAGAGAAGUUUGAAAGUGGACAAGACCAUUUGGGUUGCCAAGCCUAUUGUUACUAAAAUCUUAGGACCCAACUUGGUUGGGGACCAUCAAGCUCAAACUUGA